CAGUAGCCGCGGUAAUACGGAGGGUGCAAGCGUUAAUCGGAAUUACUGGGCGUAAAGCGCACGCAGGCGGUCUGUCAAGUCGGAUGUGAAAUCCCCGGGCUCAACCUGGGAACUGCAUUCGAAACUGGCAGGCUAGAGUCUUGUAGAGGGGGGUAGAAUUCCAGGUGUAGCGGUGAAAUGCGUAGAGAUCUGGAGGAAUACCGGUGGCGAAGGCGGCCCCCUGGACAAAGACUGACGCUCAGGUGCGAAAGCGUGGGGAGCAAACAGGAUUAGAUACCCGGGUAGUCCCUGUCUCUUAUAC
rnacentral:rRNA from 1 species